AACGAACGCUGGCGGCAUGCCUAACACAUGCAAGUCGAACGAGACCUUCGGGUCUAGUGGCGCACGGGUGCGUAACGCGUGGGAACCUGCCCUUAGGUUCGGAAUAACUCCCCGAAAGGGGUGCUAAUACCGGAUAAUGUCUUCGGACCAAAGAUUUAUCGCCUUUGGAUGGGCCCGCGUUGGUUUAGCUAGUUGGUAGGGUAAAAGCCUACCAAGGCGACGAUCCAUAGCUGGUCUGAGAGGAUGAUCAACCACACUGGGACUGAGACACGGCCCAGACUCCUACGGGAAGCAGCAGUGGGGAAUAUUGGACAAUGGGCGAAAGCCUGAUCCAGCAAUGCCGCGUGAGUGAUGAAGGCCUUAGGGUUGUAAAGCUCUUUUACCCGGGAUGAUAAUGACAGUACCGGGAGAAUAAGCUCCGGCUAACUCCGUG
rnacentral:rRNA from 1 species